rnacentral:rRNA from 1 species
AACGAACGCUGGCGGCAGGCUUAACACAUGCAAGUCGAGCGCCCCGCAAGGGGAGCGGCAGACGGGUGAGUAACGCGUGGGAAUCUACCCAUCUCUACGGAAUAACGCAUGGAAACGUGUGCUAAUACCGUAUACGUCCUUCGGGAGAAAGAUUUAUCGGAGAUGGAUGAGCCCGCGUUGGAUUAGCUAGUUGGUGGGGUAAAGGCCUACCAAGGCGACGAUCCAUAGCUGGUCUGAGAGGAUGAUCAGCCACACUGGGACUGAGACACGGCCCAGACUCCUACGGGAGGUAGCAGUGGGGAAUAUUGGACAAUGGGCGCAAGCCUGAUCCAGCCAUGCCGCGUGAGUGGUGAAGGCCCUAGGGUUGUAAAGCUCUUUCACCGGUGAAGAUAAUGACGGUAACCGGAGAAGAAGCCCCGGCUAACUUCGUGCCAGCCGCCGCGGUAAGAC